UGAAAUUAGAAUCAACCACUAUUAAUAAACAUUAUCUUACAAACUCAGAUCAUCUUCGAUAAGAAGAAUCACUACCAGUCUACCUCAAUUAUGACUUACAACUGAAUCUCAUCAAUACAAUUCUAUCUAGAACCAACCUUGACAAUCUCCAUGGACAUUCCACUUGUCCUCUGGAUAUUCUAUAACUCUGACUCCUCGCUUAGCCUUAGCCAUACUCGCAACCUCAAUCAAGCAAUUCAUCUCUAAGCUUUUCUGAAAUGGUUAAAAAGGAAUAGCAAGGGUGAGCAACAAUGCUCAGCAAGUGUAUAUAAGCAACAAUAGUCCUGAAAUAUCUUAUCAGGGUUCACAAGUUCAGGAUAUGUAAUUGAAAACUUCACAAUUCUUAUCAGCAAUUGAAAUCAGAAUUCAAACUUACAGAAGAAUUGUCGAAUUGGAUUCAUCACAUUUUUACUUAAAAACCAAAGGUUAGGCUGCUGAUCAGUCACGCACUAACCCCGAACAUGGCACACAGCCCUGUUCUCUAUACUGGAUCCAAGGCACACAUUGGCCUAUAAUUGACCACGAAUCUGGUCUGACCACGAAUCUGGUCCACAUAUUUUAUAAAAACUAAUCCAAUUCUAACAAUUUAAAUCAAUAGACAAUUCAAUCAACAGAACAGAAUCAUAAUCAUUAUCAACAACAGAAAUAUUCCAAAUCAACUUUUGAGGAUCAACAUUUCAUAAACCACAGUCUGUCUUUUGAUAAAUCAUAGUUCAGGAAAUUCCUAACUAUUCAGUAUCCUCCAUUAUCGGCUAAGCAACUGAAUUUAGCCUGCUAAACCAGCAUGACAAUGGCGGGGUGAAUAAUUAAGAAGAUCCCAACUCAUUCUAGGUUCUAACUAUCACUGAGCAACCCAUGCUUCAAUGACGGUCUGAACUUCGAAUUAAUUUGUAAAGCUGGUAUUUUAAAAUCUUGAGGUUUGGAAAGGAUGGAUCAGAAUACUUGUAGUAGAAAUUGAGAGUAAUUAGGUGUUUGGCUUUUCAAAACUUGGAAGAAGAAAACAAUCAUGGGUUUCAUUCCCAGAAGUAAGAGUUUAUUUGAGAAGGGUUUCAGUAUAAACCAUAUCAUAAUCUUAACAGAGUAAUCAGAACAUGCAAUAUAGAUGAGGAAGGAUUUAGGAAAACUUGCCUUAAAUCCGAUUCCAGUCUCAUAUCUCAAUCUCAUCUUUCCACUUUCACACUCUAUGCAUAUCAUAGUCUCUAAACCAUCUUUGGUUAUACUCUAUUCGCCACACUGCUUCGUUUACUCGAUUCGUUCCUUAUUCGCUUUGUAACAUCGUUUGACCUUCUGAACGUCUUCGAUCGUAUCCGUCUCGUCCAAACCCUUUACGAGAAUAAGAUACUACCAUUAUCACUAAAUAAUCUAUUGAUUCUUAUCUCUACUUAUCAACUCAGUAGCAUAACCUAUCGCAUACACAUAUCACGUAUAUCGAUACCCACUUAUAUAACUCUUUAAACUCAUCAAAUAUCACUUAACACAUAAUCAUGCUUUGACUCUACCAUAUAGUCUAAUCAUAUUUCACAUAACAUAUUAUCAAUUAAAUAUCAUAUAAAUCUUAUCGAAAAUCCGACAUCGUCUCGUCUAUUUAUUAGACUAUCCACCUGUUAUCCUAUC
rnacentral:lncRNA from 1 species